rnacentral:rRNA from 1 species
ACAGAGCGCCUACGGGAGCAGCAGUGGGGAAUAUUGCACAAUGGGGGAAACCCUGAUGCAGCGACGCCGCGUGAGCGAAGAAGUACUUCGGUAUGUAAAGCUCUGUCAGCAGGGAAGAUAAUGACGGUACCUGACCCAAGAAGCCCCGGCUAACUACGUCGCC